rnacentral:lncRNA from 1 species
UCUUCCCGCCUCGGCCUCCCAGAGUGCUGAGAUUACAGACGUGAACCCAUGCCUGGCCAGGAAUUUUGUUUUUUAGGAAGGCUUUCUACUAAUGGAAUUCCUGGCCUUGAGAGGAUGUUACUUUAGAAGGAAAGGAUUUUUUUGUUAUUAAAAGCUGGACCUACCAUGAAAGACUUCUGAAUCCAGGAAGAGAAACUGACUGGGCAACAUGUUAUUCAGAGACAGCGUCUUGCUCUGUUGCUUAGGCUACAGUACAG